CCAGAUGGUCGGGCGGCCGCUGUCGCGUGGAUUUCCCACGCGGUGGAGGAAAGUCCGGGCUCCACGGAGGAACGGUGCCGGCUAACGGCCGGCGGGGGUGACCCCAGGGAAAGUGCCACAGAAAACAGACCGCCCCCACGGCAUUCCGGUUCGCCGGAGAUGGUGCGGGUAAGGGUGAAACGGUGCGGUAAGAGCGCACCGCGCGUGCGGUAACGCAGGCGGCAGGGCAAACCCCACCGGGAGCAAGACCGAAUAGGAACGGCAGACGGACCGCCUCGCGCGGGGUCGUCGGGGGUCCCUCCGCCCCCGUCGUUCGGGUUGGUCGCGUGAGGCGCGCCGCAAGGCGCGUCCCAGAGGAAUGGUCGCCCCCCUUCAUCGAAGGUGGACAGAACCCGGCUUACAGACCAUCUGGCCGU
rnacentral:RNase_P_RNA from 2 species